UACGAGGGGGGCAAAUGUUGUUCGGAAUCACUGGGCGUAAAGGGCGCGUAGGCGGCCACCGCAAGUCAAUUGUGAAAUCUCCGGGCUUAACUCGGAAAGGUCAACUGAUACUGCGGGGCUAGAGUGCGGAAGGGGCAACUGGAAUUCUCGGUGUAGCGGUGAAAUGCGUAGAUAUCGAGAGGAACACCUGCGGCGAAGGCGGGUUGCUGGGCCGACACUGACGCUGAUGCGCGAAAGCCAGGGGAGCGAACGGG
rnacentral:rRNA from 1 species